UAAAAGGUUGGGAAACAUUAUAUACUCCCCGCAGUAAACUCGCCUUAAUUUCCUACAUAGCUCGAGUCAUGGGCAUGGCCCUUCGUUCUCUUCCUGCUAGCUUCCCACACCACACACACACACACACACACACACACACACACACCACACACACACACACACACACACCACACACAAUCACACACACACACACACACACACACACACACACACACACACACACAAUGGCUGUCUUUCUGUCCAUUUUUUUAUUUUACCCCUUUAAUUUGAAAUGCAUUUAUUCAAAAUGAUAACUUUUGACAAUUGGACUUCAACAUGUGAGUCAAACGCACAUCGGACACAGGCGGACAGACAGACAGACAGACAGACCAACUAGCACAAACGCACACACAGUGACAUCCUCAGGGGCCUUUAUUGCUGGCCAGCACACAUGGAGGUCAUUUCAACAGCCUGUCUUCCCCUAAAACCCUUAAAUGGCUUUAACAGCGGGCCGAGCUAGACCAGACACAAACUAAACAGGCGCAUGAGUGUGAUUGCACACGUCCAAUGGCACACAGGAGUAUUUCAAGAUACACACACGCAACCAGCCGAGCUCAAGGGGAACGUAUAACAACGGGGAUUACAACUCCGGCAAUUGAAUUACACAUUGGGAGACAUGAGCAGGACUGAAUGCAUAUAUGUCCGCUGUGCUUAAACCUUCUGUCAAACUCAAACGUUGGUGAAGCCAUGGUUGGAAUAUGCGUGGACGAGAUUGACGAUGAGAGCAGAGGGAGGCUGUUAAUUCUUGACGACAGCGGGUUCGAAGAAUUUGUAGACGACACAGGUGGACGGAGAAUUUCCCUCGUCGUUUCAAGUCAGUCGACGCGAAACUGGCUUUAUCGGCCAAACAUCACCGGCGGGCGUCCAGCAGAGCAAAGCAAAGGCAGGCGGACCGACUGUUCACGGAGAGGACAACCUAACGGAGAGAUUACCGAGUCAUUAUUUAGGUUACAAGAAGCCACCUGGCUGACUGAGGGAAACAACGGUUGGCUGCUGUCUGCUAAAGCCGAUAGCAGGAACGCAGCCCUUACACUAAGCACCAAACUCUGGAGCUGGAGAAGGAGUUUCCCUUACAACAUGUAUUUAUCGACAAACAGCGCCGCCUAUGAGAUCAGCCAAAACCUUGACCUAACAGACAGGCAGUUCAAAUCUGGUGUCCAGAAUCGCAGAAUGAAGAUGAAGAAGCAACACCGAAGUUCCAGGGAUACUGUGAAAACAAAACAGUGAAAACUGAUUAAACCAAGGACAUAGAAGACUGACCCUCUGAUUCAUUGACUGAAUGACAAAAUCAUUAAGUUAUUCAAAGCAUACAAUAGACACACGCACGCACGCACGCCACACACACACACAACACACACCACACACAACACACACACACACACACACACACACACACACACACACACACACACACACACACACACACACACUCAUACAAAGAUAUAUAAUCAAACACUUAAUAACACACGUUUAAUUCUGUUCCGUGUCACUUGUCCGUUUCAUCAUUGUUAUAUGGAAAUUCCAUUUAUAAUGUAGGCCUACUUUAUAUCCUGUGGGAGCUAGAAUUCAAUUUUUAAUUAAUAAGUUUAUUAGCUUGUCUUUUUGAUGCCCACUUUGAAUUAGCGCACAAUUGGUCACCUUUUUGCUUAUAGUAUUUAGUAAGGCUCCACAUCUAGUACAUUCAGCACUUUUAAAAUAGUCUUGAACAUUGCGUUUCUACGUCUCCAGUGAAGUCAGAGGGGAGCUUUUUGGAUUCCACUGCGUAAAGACAUUAGAACAAAUAUAGUAAUCCCUUGCUGACCCAGCACUUGUGUUACGUAUUGGUACUUGUUACAUCAGAAUAGCAUUGUUUUGCAUGUGUUUAAUUUACACCCAAUAUGUGGCACACAUUUGAUAUAUGCAUGUAUUGCCUGAUAGAAUGCCGGAUAGAUUGAUAACACACAUUCAAUUCGGCUUUCCAAUUUAAUGAUUAAAAUCUUCCAAUGCUUUUUUCCUCGAAGGAAUGUAUUAAUAAAGGAACGCCUAUUCAAAGUUCAGAAAGUGGAGACUUAUUGCACACACUACUUUGCAAACUGAUGCACAGUGCUAUCUAGCUAUUCAUUAAAAAUGUAAAGUAGGACACUGAUAUUCCGUUCGCUAAAUGAAGUGUAGCCUACCGGAUAUUAAACUUUCAUAUUCAGAUCCAGAGGCCACACUGACCAAAUAUUCAAUAAUGAGAGUCUUGAUUAGAGAGAGCCUCAUUGACGUCUAUCUUCAGGUAAUAUUCAAGCUCAUUUAUUUUUUAUUUAUAGUUUUAAUUGAACCAACUUGAGUGUAAAGAUUGCAUUGCCAAAUCAUAGGUUUGAUCUUAUUGUGGUGCCGUAUUCAUCACGGAGAAGCAGUAGAAUUGUAUUGAAAGUGCGGCAUUAAAAAAUAUAGCAUCGGCAUACCAUUCUAAGAUUACAAAUGGGUAUUAUUCUUACAGACGGAUUCAGCCCGAUCUAUCGUGGUCCAAAUGAAGUAUCUAUGUAAAGGCAUAUUAAACAUGGGUUAUUAUUAUUAUUAUUAUUAUUAUUAUUAUUAAUAGAAGAAGUAGUAGUCUAGUAGUAUACAGUAGAAGUAGUAGUAGUGGUAGAAGAGGCAUAGUAUUAGUAUUAUUAUAUAAACUGUUGUAGUAAUACACCUAUUACGUACUGGAUGAUAUCGUAGCCUACGUUUAAAACAAAUAGUAUUAUAACAAAGAAACUUCAUUAUUCAUUUGAUCAAUGUAGCCUACUUAGCUACCAGCCCAAUCUAUACAUUUAAUUAAAGGAAACAACUAAAUAAAUACUUUAUUCACACAUUGAAUUAUGUAAAAUUUAGGUGAGAGGCUUGGUUUGACCUAGCCUUUUAGUUUUUUGUUUGUUUUUGUUGUUUGAGUGUAUUUCGGGAAAGCCUACUUCUUCUGACUUCUAUAGCGAAAUUCCAUGGACAUCCUGAAGACGCGUGAAGUUGAAAAGCCAAGGUGCAGAUGGCUCACGAGACAUCCGCUUUCCGUGUCUCUGUUUGUGCGAGCGAGAGUAAUAAAAAAAAAACCUUAGGUCCACAGCCACAAAAACACACGCCCAUAAACAUAUUCACACAUUCUUUCUCUUGUUGUCUGCUUUUUGUAAUUGUUUGUACCUGGAAGUCCAAAAGCAGACUCUGGAAUUAUUCAUACGAUUUCAUAAAUUAUUGAGAAUGCCCGAAAGGGGAAGAGCUUCGUUUUUGGAUGGAGUAAAUUUAUUUCCAGUUAUUGAUUUAAUACGUGGUUGAGUGUCAGUGGAAAGAGUGCGUUUUAUGAAUUAUUAACCAUUCAUAACCAUGGCAUGAUCCCAUUUUUUCGCCG
rnacentral:lncRNA from 1 species